rnacentral:rRNA from 1 species
CACAGGUGGUCGGGUAGAGAAUACCAAGGCGCUUGAGAGAACUCGGGUGAAGGAACUAGGCAAAAUGGUACCGUAACUUCGGGAGAAGGUACGCUCUUGAUGGUGAAGUCCCUCGCGGAUGGAGCUGACGAGAGUCGCAGAUACCAGGUGGCUGCAACUGUUUAUUAAAAACACAGCACUGUGCAAAAUCGCAAGAUGACGUAUACGGUGUGACGCCUGCCCGGUGCCGGAAGGUUAAUUGAUGGGGUUAGCGCAAGCGAAGCUCUUGAUCGAAGCCCCGGUAAACGGCGGCCGUAACUAUAACGGUCCUAAGGUAGCGAAAUUCCUUGUCGGGUAAGUUCCGACCUGCACGAAUGGCGUAAUGAUGGCCACGCUGUCUCCACCCGAGACUCAGUGAAAUUGAAAUCGCUGUGAAGAUGCAGUGUACCCGCGGCUAGACGGAAAGACCCCGUGAACCUUUACUACAGCUUGGCACUGAACAUUGAACCUACAUGUGUAGGAUAGGUGGGAGGCUAUGAAGACGUGACGCCAGUUGCGUUGGAGCCGUCCUUGAAAUACCACCCUUGUAUGUUUGAUGUUCUAACUUAGACCCGUUAUCCGGGUUGAGGACAGUGCCUGGUGGGUAGUUUGACUGGGGCGGUCUCCUCCCAAAGAGUAACGGAGGAGCACGAAGGUGGGCUAAUCACGGUUGGACAUCGUGAGGUUAGUGCAAUGGCAUAAGCCCGCUUAACUGCGAGAAUGACGGUUCGAGCAGGUGCGAAAGCAGGUCAUAGUGAUCCGGUGGUUCUGUAUGGAAGGGCCAUCGCUCAACGGAUAAAAGGUACUCCGGGGAUAACAGGCUGAUACCGCCCAAGAGUUCAUAUCGACGGCGGUGUUUGGCACCUCGAUGUCGGCUCAUCACAUCCUGGGGCUGAAGUCGGUCCCAAGGGUAUGGCUGUUCGCCAUUUAAAGUGGUACGCGAGCUGGGUUUAGAACGUCGUGAGACAGUUCGGUCCCUAUCUGCCGUGGGCGUUGGAAGAUUGAAGGGGGCUGCUCCUAGUACGAGAGGACCGGAGUGGACGAACCUCUGGUGUUCGGGUUGUGUCGCCAGACGCAUUGCCCGGUAGCUAAGUUCGGAAUUGAUAAGCGCUGAAAGCAUCUAAGCGCGAAGCGAGC